rnacentral:sRNA from 1 species
GCCAGGUAUGGUGAGGCACACCUGUAAUCCCAGCACCUUGGGAGGCUGAGGCAGGAGGAUACCAAAUUCAAGGCCGGUCUCAGCAACUUAGCAAGACCCUGUUUCAAAAAGGGGUAGGUGGGAGGCUGGGGAUGUAGCUCAGUGGUAGAACCUCUCUG